GGUGAUAUAGCUCAAUUUGGUAGAGUGCUUGCCUUGCAUGCAGAAGGCCCUGGGUUCAAUCCCCAGCACCA
rnacentral:tRNA from 1 species